rnacentral:rRNA from 1 species
AUUGAACGCUGGCGGCAUGCUUUACACAUGCAAGUCGAACGGUAACAGGCCGCAAGGUGCUGACGAGUGGCGAACGUGUGAGUAAUGCAUCGGAACGUGCCCAGUCGUGGGGGAUAACGCAGCGAAAGCUGCGCUAAUACCGCAUACGAUCUAUGGAUGAACGCGGGGGACCGUAAGGCCUCGCGCGAUUGGAGCGGCCGAUGUCAGAGUAGGUAGUUGGUGGGGUAAAGGCUCACCAAGCCAACGACCUGUAGCUGGUCUGAGAGGACGACCCGCCACAGUGGGACGGGGAACCGGCCCAGACUCCUACGGGAGGCAGCAGUGGGGAAUUUUGGACAAUGGGCGCAAGCCUGAUCCAGCAAUGCCGCGUGCGGGAAGAAGGCUUUCGGGUUGUAAACUGCUUUUGUACGGAACGAAACGGUCUGGGUUAAUACCUCGGGCUAAUGACGGUACCGUGAGAAUAAGCACCGGCUAACUACGUGCCAGCAGCCGCCGUAAUAC